rnacentral:rRNA from 1 species
CUGGGCUCGAAGCGCAGGGGACCGGGGUGGAAACAUCCCUUUCCGCAAGGACCCCUGCGGAGGUGCUGCAUGGCUGUCGUCAGCUCGUGUCGUGAGAUGUUGGGUUAAGUCCCGCAACGAGCGCAACCCUUAUCCCUAGUUGCCAGCGAGUCAAGUCGGGCACUCUAGUGAAACCGCCCCGGAUAACGGGGAGGAAGGUGGGGAUGACGUCAAGUCCUCAUGGCCUUUAUGUCCAGGGCUACACACGUGCUACAAUGGUCGGUACUAACCGUCGCAAACCUGCGAAGGGGAGCUAAUCGGAAAAAGCCGGCCUCAGUUCGGAUUGGAGUCUGCAACCCGACUCCAUGAAGCUGGAAUCGCUAGUAAUCGCAGAUCAGAACGCUGCGGUGAAUACGUUCCC